GCCCAACUUCCAGCUUAACACACAAGAGAGGAGGCCUAUCGCGCGGGUGCGCGCCCUUGCAUACGAAUUUUGAAGAGCCUUGCUAAUUCCAGCGUGUUUCGUUUCAAAGUAACACAAUGACUGUGACAAAAAUGUCCUUAACCCUAACCAGCCUGAUUGGCAUGGUACGAAAUUCUGAUUGAUUGUUUUGUUCUCUGUGACAUUGUCCAUUUUGGAAGGAAAUUUGGAAAAUGGUGGUUCCCCAAGAGGUGGGGCACCAUUACUGUCAAUGGACUCCUCUCAGCCAUAUAAAGGCAAAAAAACCUAGCGGUUCUUCGCAGUUCAUUGGAUGUGCUUGGUGGUUUUGUUAUAUGGAAAGAAUUCAUCAAUCAAUUGUCUGAACCUGUUUACCCAGAGUGCCUAUCCCAGAAAGCAUUGGGUGAAGAGCAGGAACAGUCCCUGGACUUGGUGCCAGCUCAUUGCAGGAUGUAAACACAUACACAAAAUCAGGGGCCAAUUCAACAUCAUCAAUCCACCAAACCUGCCUGUCAUUUGGACUGUAGGAGGAACCUGGAUCACACAGAGGAAUAUUUUUCACAAACGGGUUGGGCUGUGGUAGACUUUUCUCUGUCAGUGCGAGACUGUUGAGAGCAGAGUGAUGAGUUUAAAUGGCUGUGAGCGACUCUCCCAGUAUCUCAGAAGUAGAACGUAUUCCCAUUUCCUUAGAGAUUUCACGGUUACACUUCUCCGAGCCACCUGUGACACAUGUUAAUGAGUCGUUAUCUUUAACAGAUGGAGUCUCUCACAAGUACCAAGUUGAGAGAAUUCUUCAAUGUAUUUGAGGGAAGGAAGAAUACUCUUCAAGGAAUGACAGUCAAAAAUCUGCUUUCACAUAAGGACAUGAAAGCAAACUGGAGUAGGAACCUAUUGGCUUACUCAUUUCAACGUCCUCAUUUACUAUGACAGGAAGUCUUGCUGAAGUCACCAUCAAGUAUAGCACACACAUCAGGAUCUGGAAAUGGUGGUGGAAAGCUGGCUCUGUUUCCAGCCACUGCUCUUACUGCAGUGUAAAAGAAAGGCAGCUGAACCAGAUGCAGUAUCCAUGCAGGCUGAAAAGAAGAUUUGACAUUUUCUACUGUGAGGCUACAUGUGUGGCUGCAAACACCCAUUCAAAAUGAGAAGAUCAUGGCAAGCUGCAAUCUAACUUUAUAGUACAAGUGAUAAGACAAGAUCCCGCAGAACACAUCUAUAAUCACUCACACUAAAGUGAGUUUAACAGCAUGACGCUGAGAGGGAACCUUUGCAAACACCAGGACAACAUGCAGCCUUUGUAAAUGGUGUUGGCCAGGUCCUACUCCACUCCACUCCCAACUCUGACUGAUUCUACUGAGGGGGAGAGAAUCCUUUUAAAGCCAGACCCGAGGGUACUUCAGGCGCACCACAGGUGUGUGACCUGGAGCUUCAGGAGAACAGGGGAGAUGUCUUGCAGUAGUAUCCUUCUACAACUCCAACAGGACUGUCUACUGUAUUCAGAUUGCAUAUCUCAUACAGCCCAAACAGGAAUGCUGCCAGAGGCAUGCUGCCACCCAGUGUACUUAGGCAACUUAUCACCCUGGGAAGCCUAUUAGUCCUGCCUGCUUUCUAGAGCAGGUACCAUGAAAUAUUCCAGCAGGAUGUCAGUCCAUUCAUUGCAAGCAACUUUGACUUUUACUGUGCGCCAUACACUUAGCAAUACCACUACUACAACCACUAUCACAGCCACCACCACAACUACUGCUGUCAUAUGUGCCGUGUGCAAUGUGAUGGACUGUCUUAUCAUCCAAGAAUGGCUCCUGUCUUGUUCCUGAUGCUUCCAGUAUGGAUAAAGAGAUUUAGUGAUACUUUAAUGGAAGAAGAGGGCUCAGAAAAUGUAAAGGGUGUAAAAUAAGUGUCAUCUGAGAUCUCUUAAUUGUUCUUCUAAAGAAUUUUUGAUUGAUAACAAAAAUGGCUUUCUGUACUGAUGUCCUUUCUGAACUGGACUUCCUGUUUGCUUUAAGAUGUCUUAAUAUUUAUUUUGGAUAAAAAUCUUUUCUUCUUUUUACGAUACAUGAAGUGCAUUUUGCUAUGUCAGUAAAGUUUGUUUUGUAUUGCAUACUGCCUUUGAGUUUGCAUCUGUAAUUCCCUCAUGGACUUGGACAUGGGGUAUGGUAGCUGGCUGCUUUAUACAGUG